GAAUUCGCCCUUAGAGUUUGAUCCUGGCUCAGGACGAACGCUGGCGGCGCGCCUAACACAUGCAAGUCGAACGGAGCUUAGAGAGCUUGCUUUUUAAGCUUAGUGGCGAACGGGUGAGUAACGCGUGAGUAACCUGCCCUAGAGUGGGGGACAACAGUUGGAAACGACUGCUAAUACCGCAUAAGCCCACGGUACCGCAUGGUACUGAGGGAAAAGGAUUUAUUCGCUUUAGGAUGGACUCGCGUCCAAUUAGCUAGUUGGUGAGGUAACGGCCCACCAAGGCGACGAUUGGUAGCCGGACUGAGAGGUUGAACGGCCACAUUGGGACUGAGACACGGCCCAGACUCCUACGGGAGGCAGCAGUGGGGGAUAUUGCACAAUGGGGGAAACCCUGAUGCAGCGACGCCGCGUGGAGGAAGAAGGUUUUCGGAUUGUAAACUCCUGUCGUUAGGGACGAUAAUGACGGUACCUAACAAGAAAGCACCGGCUAACUACGUGCCAGCAGCCGCGGUAAAACGUAGGGUGCAAGCGUUGUCCGGAAUUACUGGGUGUAAAGGGAGCGCAGGCGGGAAGGCAAGUUGGAAGUGAAAACUAUGGGCUCAACCCAUAAAUUGCUUUCAAAACUGCUGGCCUUGAGUAGUGCAGAGGUAGGUGGAAUUCCCGGUGUAGCGGUGGAAUGCGUAGAUAUCGGGAGGAACACCAGUGGCGAAGGCGACCUACUGGGCACCAACUGACGCUGAGGCUCGAAAGCAUGGGUAGCAAACAGGAUUAGAUACCCUGGUAGUCCAUGCCGUAAACGAUGAU
rnacentral:rRNA from 1 species